AGCGAACGCUGGCGGCAGGCCUAACACAUGCAAGUCGAACGAACCUUUCGGGGUUAGUGGCGGACGGGUGAGUAACACGUGGGAACGUGCCUUUAGGUUCGGAAUAACACAGGGACACUUGUGCUAAUACCGAAUGUGCCCUUCGGGGGAAAGAUUAAUCGCCUUUAGAGCGGCCCGCGUCUGAUUAGCUAGUUGGUUGAGGUAAUGGCUCACCAAGGCGACGAUCAGUAGCUGGUCUGAGAGGAUGAUCAGCCACAUUGGGACUGAGACACGGCCCAAACUCCUACGGGAGGCAGCAGUGGGGAAUCUUGCGCAAUGGGCGAAAGCCUGACGCAGCCAUGCCGCGUGAAUGAUGAAGGUCUUAGGAUUGUAAAAUUCUUUCACCGGGGACGAUAAUGACGGUACCCGGAGAAGAAGCCCCGGCUAACUUCGUG
rnacentral:rRNA from 1 species